rnacentral:rRNA from 1 species
ACGGGUGAGUAACGCGUGGGAAUCUACCGUGCCCUGCGGAAUAGCUCCGGGAAACUGGAAUUAACACCGCAUACGCCCUACGGGGGAAAGAUUUAUCGGGGUAUGAUGAGCCCGCGUUGGAUUAGCUAGUUGGUGGGGUAAAGGCCUACCAAGGCGACGAUCCAUAGCUGGUCUGAGAGGAUGAUCAGCCACAUUGGGACUGAGACACGGCCCAAACUCCUACGGGAGGCAGCAGUGGGGAAUAUUGGACAAUGGGCGCAAGCCUGAUCCAGCCAUGCCGCGUGAGUGAUGAAGGCCUUAGGGUUGUAAAGCUCUUUCACCGGAGAAGAUAAUGACGGUAUCCGGAGAAGAAGCCCCGGCUAACUUCGUGCCAGCAGCCGCGGUAAUACGAAGGGGGCUAGCGUUGUUCGGAAUUACUGGGCGUAAAGCGCACGUAGGCGGAUAUUUAAGUCAGGGGUGAAAUCCCAGAGCUCAACUCUGGAACUGCCUUUGAUACUGGGUAUCUUGAGUAUGGAAGAGGUAAGUGGAAUUCCGAGUGUAGAGGUGAAAUUCGUAGA